AGAGUUUGAUCCUGGCUCAGAGCGAACGCUGGCGGCAGGCCUAACACAUGCAAGUCGAGCGCCCAGCAAUGGGAGCGGCAGACGGGUGAGUAACGCGUGGGGAUCUGCCCAAUGGUACGGAAUAACCCAGGGAAACUUGGACUAAUACCGUAUGUGCCCUUCGGGGGAAAGAUUUAUCGCCAUUGGAUGAACCCGCGUCGGAUUAGCUAGUUGGUGAGGUAAAGGCUCACCAAGGCGACGAUCCGUAGCUGGUCUGAGAGGAUGAUCAGCCACACUGGGACUGAGACACGGCCCAGACUCCUACGGGAGGCAGCAGUGGGGAAUAUUGGACAAUGGGCGCAAGCCUGAUCCAGCCAUGCCGCGUGUGUGAUGAAGGCCUUAGGGUUGUAAAGCACUUUCGCCGGUGAAGAUAAUGACGGUAACCGGAGAAGAAGCCCCGGCUAACUUCGUGCCAGCAGCCGCGGUAAUACGAAGGGGGCAAGCGUUGCUCGGAAUCACUGGGCGUAAAGCGCACGUAGGCGGGUCGUUAAGUCAGGGGUGAAAUCCUGGAG
rnacentral:rRNA from 1 species